CACACACCUCUCUCUCUCUCUCUCUCCAGCGCUCAUUAAACAUGGAGGUGUGUAAGGAGCGCCUCUCGGUUUUCUCUCUCUUAAAGUUAAUAAAACAAACUCCUCCUUCUUUAGAAACUACUGAACUUUCAAAUGUUCUUUUUACCUCAAAUCACUUCACAAACUCUUUCACACAAACAUCACUGCUAAUAAAGUAUAAAUAGAAUAAAAUCACUUCUAAUAAAGUAUAAACAGAAUAAAAUCACUCCUAAUAAAGUAUAAAUAUACUAAAAUCACUUCUAAUAAAGUAUAAAUAUACUAAAAUCACUCCUAAUAAAGUAUAAAUAUACUAAAAUAUACUAAAAUCACUCCUAAUAAAGUAUAAAUAGAAUAAAAUCACUCCUAAUAAAUUAUAAAUAUACUAAAAUCACUCCUAUAAAGUAUA
ensembl:lncRNA